rnacentral:rRNA from 1 species
UACAGAGGGUGCGAGCGUUGUCCGGAAUCACUGGGCGUAAAGGGCGCGUAGGUGGUGGCUUAAGCGUGCGGUGAAAGCUCGGGGCUCAACUCCGAGUCGGCCGUGCGAACUGGGCUCACUGGAGCAUAGUAGAGGCAGGUGGAAUUCCGGGUGUAGCGGUGGAAUGCGUAGAGAUGUGGAGGAACACCGAUGGCGAAGGCAGCCCCCCUGGGUCAAGAUUGACGCUCAUGCACGAAAGCGUGGGGGAGCAAACAGG